GGGGAUAUAGCAUAGUGGUUAUGCAAGAGACUUUCCUGCCUGAGGCUCUCAGGUCCCAGGUUCAAUUCCUUGCACCACCA
rnacentral:tRNA from 1 species